rnacentral:rRNA from 1 species
CCUACGGGAGGCAGCAGUGGGGAAUAUUGCACAAUGGGGGAAACCCUGAUGCAGCGACGCCGCGUGAGUGAAGAAGUAUCUCGGUACGUAAAGCUCUCUCAGCAGGGGAGAAAAUGACGGUACCUGACUAAGAAGCCCCGGAUAACUACGUGCCAGCAGCCGCGGUAAUACGUAGGGGGCAAGCGUUAUCGGGAUUUACUGGGUGUAAAGGGAGCGUAGACGGCAGCACAAGUCUGGAGUGAAAUCCCGGGGAUUAACCCCGGAACUGCUUUGGAAACUGUGCGGCUGGAGUGCAGGAGGGGUAAGCGGAAGUUCUGGUGUAGCGGUGAAAUGCGUAGAUAUUAGGCGGAACACCGGUGGCGAAGGCGGCUUACUAGACUGUAUCUGACGUUGAGGCUCGAAAGCGUGGGGAGCAAACAGGAUUAGAUACCCCGGUAGUC